UAUACAAUCAUGAACUCCUGGCCUCAAGAGGUCCUCCUGCCUCAGCCUCCCAAACUGCUGAAAUUAUUGGCAGGAGCCAUUGUGCCCAAC